rnacentral:rRNA from 1 species
UACGGAGGUGGCAAGCGUUGCUCGGAAUCACUGGGCGUAAAGGGCGCGUAGGCGGGGAGGUAAGUCGGGUGUGAAAUCCCUCGGCCCAACCGAGGAACUGCGCCCGAGACUGCUUCUCUUGAGUCCCGGAGAGGAAGAUGGAAUUCCCGGUGUAGCGGUGAAGUGUGUAGAGAUCGGGAGGAACACCGGUGGCGAAGGCGGUCUUCUGGACGGUGACUGACGCUGAGGCGCGAAAGCGUGGGGAGCAAACGGG